rnacentral:tRNA from 1 species
GCAUCGGUGGUUCAGCGAUAGAAUGGUCGUCUGUCACAUGGGCGGCCAGGGUUCGAUCCCCGACCGAUGCA